rnacentral:rRNA from 1 species
UACGUAGGGUCCGAGCGUUAUCCGGAGUUACUGGGCGUAAAGCGCGCGCAGGCGGCGGUGCUGGCCCGGCGUGAAAGCCCCCGGCUCAACCGGGGAGAGUCGUCGGGGACCGCACCGCUUGAGGGCGGUAGGGGCUGGUGGAAUGCCUGGUGUAGUGGUGAAAUGCGUAGAGAUCUGGAGGAAUACCGAUGGCGAAGGCAGCCAUCUGGCCUAACACUGACGCUGAGGUGCGAAAGCAUGGGGAGCAAACAGG